rnacentral:piRNA from 1 species
UUUAAGAAGGUGUCUAGGGA